rnacentral:rRNA from 1 species
GGCGGCGUGCCUAAUACAUGCAAGUAGAACGCUGAAGAGAGGAGCUUGCUCUUCUUGGAUGAGUUGCGAACGGGUGAGUAACGCGUAGGUAACCUGCCUUGUAGCGGGGGAUAACUAUUGGAAACGAUAGCUAAUACCGCAUAACAAUGGAUGACACAUGUCAUUUAUUUGAAAGGGGCAAUUGCUCCACUACAAGAUGGACCUGCGUUGUAUUAGCUAGUAGGUGAGGUAACGGCUCACCUAGGCGACGAUACAUAGCCGACCUGAGAGGGUGAUCGGCCACACUGGGACUGAGACACGGCCCAGACUCCUACGGGAGGCAGCAGUAGGGAAUCUUCGGCAAUGGGGGCAACCCUGACCGAGCAACGCCGCGUGAGUGAAGAAGGUUUUCGGAUCGUAAAGCUCUGUUGUAAGUCAAGAACGAGUGUGAGAGUGGAAAGUUCACACUGUGACGGUAGCUUACCAGAAAGGGACGGCUAACUACGUGCCAGCAGCCGCGGUAAUACGUAGGUCCCGAGCGUUGUCCGGAUUUAUUGGGCGUAAAGCGAGCGCAGGCGGUUUGAUAAGUCUGAAGUUAAAGGCUGUGGCUCAACCAUAGUUCGCUUUGGAAACUGUCAAACUUGAGUGCAGAAGGGGAGAGUGGAAUUCCAUGUGUAGCGGUGAAAUGCGUAGAUAUAUGGAGGAACACCGGUGGCGAAAGCGGCUCUCUGGUCUGUAACUGACGCUGAGGCUCGAAAGCGUGGGGAGCGAACAGGAUUAGAUACCCUGGUAGUCCACGCCGUAAACGAUGAGUGCUAGGUGUUGGAUCCUUUCCGGGAUUCAGUGCCGCAGCUAACGCAUUAAGCACUCCGCCUGGGGAGUACGACCGCAAGGUUGAAACUCAAAGGAAUUGACGGGGGCCCGCACAAGCGGUGGAGCAUGUGGUUUAAUUCGAAGCAACGCGAAGAACCUUACCAGGUCUUGACAUCCCGAUGCUAUUUCUAGAGAUAGAAAGUUACUUCGGUACAUCGGUGACAGGUGGUGCAUGGUUGUCGUCAGCUCGUGUCGUGAGAUGUUGGGUUAAGUCCCGCAACGAGCGCAACCCCUAUUGUUAGUUGCCAUCAUUCAGUUGGGCACUCUAGCGAGACUGCCGGUAAUAAACCGGAGGAAGGUGGGGAUGACGUCAAAUCAUCAUGCCCCUUAUGACCUGGGCUACACACGUGCUACAAUGGUUGGUACAACGAGUUGCGAGUCGGUGACGGCAAGCUAAUCUCUUAAAGCCAAUCUCAGUUCGGAUUGUAGGCUGCAACUCGCCUACAUGAAGUCGGAAUCGCUAGUAAUCGCGGAUCAGCACGCCGCGGUGAAUACGUUCCCGGGCCUUGCACACACCGCCCGUCAA